CACACCUUUCCGCCGGAAAAGACGCUGUUAGGAAGAAUCACGGACUGGUUGGAAGCUGUUGAAGAACAACUGUCAACAAUUGUUAAGCCGUGUUGACACUGCGAACCCUUAAGAUACCUCCGAUUGGUUUUAAGAGAGGGAUAGAUCAUCUGAAUCUGACCCUUGGGGUCAGUGGCGAGCCAACCGCAGAAGUCAGAAAACGGACCAAGAGCCUGGUGUGGCCAGCCGUGGCAUCUUUGGAACCAUCAUCAUCCCGUGCCUUCGUUUGAAGUAAAGAUAAGAACACACGUAAACCUACCCGGGUAGUGAAAAGAACAUACAUACUCCAAGAAAAACACACACACACCAAGAACUUUCAUGGACUCUUCCUUUGUUUGACGUUGUUUAUUUUGGGUUUUAUUGUGCGCUUGUGCACUCAGGAAGCCGGCUUAGGUAGGCAGGGAUUGUAUAUAACUGUCUUUAAUUUUGUGUAAUACACUUCUAAAACGUAUCUGUUUUGUGGUAUUUGUUGUCUGACUUUUUACUACUUCAGGCUCCGUAGUCGUACCUAGAUUUUCUGAUUUUAGCCCAGUUUCAAUUUAUAGCUAAUUCAAUUAGUUAUCGGUUACACUAAAGCGAGCAGAGGGUUACAAGUGGCGAGCCAGCCAGGAGCCUGAUUUUGUGUUAGCAGUGAACCACAUUACACGUGUGUGAAACGACUUUCAAGUGUGUAAGCUCUUUGUUAUCUGUUUAACAUAUCACCCUUUACUAAAGAUGGAGUUCAUAACAAGCUCAGGUAUCAAAGUCCCCAAUGCAGUAAUGGUGAGUGGUUUGCUUGAAUCACCAGAAGAUGAGGAGAUCAUAGACUUCCUUAGGAGGUAUGGCUCCAUGAAACUUGUCCCAGUUACUGACACUAACUCAGAGUUUUAUAAAAACCUGAUUGUUGAGUAUCAAGAAGGUGCUGCUUUUGAGGCCUUAGCCCCCCUUCUGCCCUACUCACGUGAACAUAAGGACAAUCCAGACGUGAAAUACUACGUUCAAGCCCUGGCAAGUGUGUACACUACUAAAGUUGGCUGCAGUGUUACCAAAGCCUACCUUGAUGAAAUAAAGAAGUUAGCGAAAUUGAGUGGACGAGGCUUCGAAGAAGUGCUGAAAGACAUGAUGUCAGAGAUCAGUGAGACAAUCGAGACUGAUGGCAGUGGUGAUGAUGAGUUUGGAGCCAGACAGCUCAACACGUCGCUUGACACAUUUGAACCCACACAUUCUCAGCUGCUUCCAGAUUCUUCUCGGGAAAAGUUAAUUCAUAGUGGUGCUGAGCCAUACCCACCAGCUGAUGUGAAGCGAAGUCUGUCCGUUGUGGAGAGCGACCUGAAUCCACCUGAAAUUCAAAGGGUCAUUGUUGAGCACAUUGUGAGGAGAGAUGAAUUAAACACACAUUCACACUUUCCCAUCAAGCUUCGUUCAUUCUCAGGCAAGCUUCCCAGACCCAAUGGUGAGACAGACUACGACACAUGGCGUUCACAUGUUGAGCUUCUCAGGAAAGACCCAACCCUGUCUAAUCUUCAGAAAUCACGGAAAAUCUUUGAAAGUUUGCUCUUCCCGGCAGCAGAUAUUGUCAAAAGACUAAGCCCUGAAGCUACUCCUGAGUCCUACCUUCAACUGCUGGAUGCAGCCUUUGGAACUGUUGAGGACGGCGAGGAGCUUUUCGCCCAGUUUAUAAAUACUCUUCAGGAUCCAGGUGAAAAGGUCUCUACAUACCUCUGUCGCCUUCAAGCUGCCCUGAACCUUGCUGUUAAAAGAGGAGGAGCUGCUGCCGGAGAAGCAGAUAGACACAUUCUCAAACAGUUUUGUCGCGGGUGUUGGGACAACCACUUGCUCUCUGACCUCAACCUUGAAGAAAAGAAAAGUCACCCACCAGCAUUUUCAGAGCUCCUGUUAUUAAUCCGCACUGAGGAGGAUAGGCAGGCAACUAAAGCCACACGUAUGAAGAAGCACCUUGGCUCACACCGGCAGAGGAUUAUGCUAGGUUCUCAGGGUGUAUGCGUCUGCAGUCAACAAGCAGCACUCCAGCCUGAGUCCGACCCAUUGACAGAGCUUAAACAUCAGGUGGCGUCGCUGCAGAGCCAACUCACCACGCUGAUGUCUAAGAAAGCCAAGAAUGCUCCGAAGACCAAGGGGAACACUGAGCAUCCAUCAGGAGGGCAAGCAUCUAAACUUGACCCUAGAGCACCAAGCUGGAAACCGACCAACUCAAAGACAAACACCCAGCCGAGACCUUGGUACUGUUUCAACUGCGGCGAGGACGGUCACAUCUCCUCAGCUUGCAAUAGCAAUCCGAACCCCACUCUCGUCAAUAAAAAAAGAGGUCAAUUGAGAGAAAAGCAGCGCCUCUGGGAGGCUAAAGUACAAUUACCAGACAAUAGGGAUUUUUAGAUGGAGUCUCAGUUGCAGGGCAAACUGAGGCUAGAGCAGUUCAUCAACGCCCUGCUAAGGAUAAAAGUGAUGCCGGACCCAAGUUCAGUGCUGCCUUGAACCAAUCUAAAGUUAGAAAACACCCCUUCAGAGUCCCGAAGAAACUUAUAGGCACGAAAAGUACUGCCCAAGUUACCAUCCAAGGAAAACAGUUCAGCUGUCUCCUCGACACAGGUUCACAAGUAACUACAGUCACCAAAUCUUUCUAUAACGAAAACCUACCCGAGCAGCAAAUCAAACCACUCUUUAACCUUCUGGAAGUUGAAGGGGCCAAUGGUCAAGCUGUGCCCUACCUUGGAUAUGUUGAAGUCACUAUCACCUUCCCAAAACAGUUCCUUGGAGCUGAAUAUGAAGUCCCAACAUUGGCCUUGGUUGUUCCAGAACGCGGCACUUCAGGGUACCAGAUACUGGUUGGUACAAACACACUCGAUGUAGCAUAUGGUAUGUGCAAAGAGAAAAGUCCAGCAAGCUACCACUCUGUCCCAAACGGCUACAGGACGGUACUGAAAGUACUUCAACUACGACAGGAACAAAGCCUUGACAGUAACAUUGGACUGGUGAGGAUGCAAGGCCGAGACAGAAAACUCAUUCCAGCUGGAGGAACACUUGUUCUGGAGGGAGUGGCAUCAGUGAAAGAGUUCCAUACUGAGAGGUCUGCUAUCAUGGAGUACCCUUCAUCCUCUUCUCUGCCUGGAGGGCUGCUUGUGAAGCCCUGCCUUGUUGAUCUACCAGUCAAACUUCCAGUUGUGGUCUCAAAUGAGUCGGAACACGACAUUAUUAUCCCAGCUAAGAGUGUGAUUGCUGAGCUCAGUUCAAUCCAGGCCAUUCUGUCUCAUAAACAGAGCGUGACCAAUCCAUCUGAACCAGAACCCUCCAAGGCAGCUGACCUAGCCUUUGACUUUGGUGAGUCCCCGGUCCCUCCAGAAUGGAAAGACAGAAUUACCCGAAAAUUGAAUAGCAUGCCUGAGGUCUUCGCCCAGAAUGACACUGACUUUGGAAGGACAGACAAAGUCAAGCAUCACAUCAAAUUGUCUGAUGAGACACCAUUCAAACUCAGGGCUCGGCCAAUACAUCCACACGAUAUUGAAGCUGUUCGUCAACAUCUUCAAGAGCUUCUUGAUUCUGGGGUGAUUCGUGAAAGUGAGUCUCCAUUCUCCUCUCCAAUUGUUGUAGUCAGGAAGAAGAAUGGCCAGGUACGCCUCUGUAUUGACUACAGGAAACUGAACCUGCAGACGGUGAAAGACGCCUAUGCACUUCCGAGGAUGGAUGACACCUUCACAGCACUCUCAGGUUCCAGGUGGUUCAGUGUCCUCGAUCUAAAGUCCGGCUACUAUCAGAUCGAAGUCAACGAGGUUGACAAACCAAAGACCGCCUUUGUAUGCCCACUUGGUUUCUGGGAGUUCAAUCGAAUGCCUCAGGGAGUGACAAACGCCCCAAGUACUUUCCAGAGACUGAUGGAAAAGUGCAUGGGAGACAUGAACUUGAAGGAAGUUGUCGUUUUCCUGGAUGACUUAAUAGUCUUCUCGAAAACUUUAGAAGACCAAGAAGCCAGGCUCACCAAGGUCCUCAACCGACUGAAGGAGUAUGGGCUCAAACUGUCCCUGGAAAAAUGUAGAUUCUUUCAGUCCUCAGUCCGGUACUUGGGGCAUGUGGUCUCAGAGCAGGGAGUGGAGACCGACCCGGAAAAGAUUGCAGCGCUAGAGACCUGGCCAGUCCCUCAGCAUCUAAAGGAGUUGAAAGCCUUCCUUGGAUUUUGUGGUUACUAUAGGAAGUUCAUUAAAGGCUAUUCAAGUGUAAUGAAACCUCUGAACGACUUAACAUCCGGUUACCCACCUCCAGGGAAGCACCCCAUAUCCAAAGAAAGGAGUGGCCAAUACUACCACCCCAAAACCCCAUUUCUGAACCGUUGGACUCCCGCCUGCCAACAGGCAUUCCAGACGAUCAUCGGCAAGUUGACAACAUCCCCAGUUCUGGCCUUCGCAAAUCCAGCACUCCCUUACAUCCUUCACACGGAUGCAAGUUCCACCGGCCUCGGAGCGGCCUUAUAUCAGGAGCAGGAGGGACAGCUGCGUGUCAUUGCCUACGCUAGCAGAGGGUUAUCGCGUAGUGAGUCCCGUUAUCCAGCUCACAAGCUUGAGUUUUUAGCGCUGAAAUGGUCUGUAACAGAGAAGUUCAGUGACUACCUCUAUGGCAAUCAGUUCACAGUUGUCACUGACAACAAUCCCCUUACGUACAUACUUACUUCAGCCAAACUCGAUGCAACCAGCUACAGGUGGUUAGCUGCUCUCUCUACCUUCUCCUUUAAGCUCCAGUACCGCCCCGGAAAGCAGAAUGGAGAUGCUGACGCACUAUCGCGACGUCCCCAUGGCAACCUGCGUGACGACCCCUCAUCCCAAAAAGAAUGGGACAGGAUCCGCCAGUUCACACAGCACCAUCUAUCAGAUCCAGAUAACAUUGAGGCUGUGGAUCAGGGGGUUGUUCAUGCCAUCUGUGAGAGACAACUUAUUUAUUGUGCCAAUGAUGGAAUGGGUAGAGAUGGAAGUAUCUCCCUAGUCGAGAGCCUUGCCAUCUCUGGAGAGGCCGUACCUGACAGUUUUGAGCAGGAAGAUAAGCUUGGAGGUCUUCCCAUCGUCUCGCACCUAUCAGAGGCAGAUCUCAGAGACAAACAGAGAGCUGACCAGUGCAUCAAACAUGUCAUCUCGCAGAUCGAGCGUGACGAGAAACCACCACCCGCUGUGAGAGCUUUGCUUCCAGACCUACCUCUGUUGUUGAGAGAGUUGACCAGACUUGAACUGCGAAACGGCAUCCUUUAUAGAACACGCCAAGAAGAAGGUCGCACGCAGUACCAGCUAGUCUUACCCGAAGAACUUCGUGAGACGGUCUUAACGAGCCUGCAUGACAACAUGGGUCAUAUGGGAAAAGACCGUACGCUGGACUUGGUCAGAGCCAGAUUCUACUGGCCGAGGAUGGCCUCUGACAUUCAGAGGAAAAUUAAGAAGUGUAACAGGUGUGUGCUCAGGAAAACCUUACCUGAGAGGGCAGCACCUUUAGUGAACAUCAUGUCAACAAGACCGCUUGAACUGGUCUGCAUGGACUUCUUGUCCAUUGAACCGGACAGAAGUAACACAAAGGACAUUCUUGUGAUCACAGAUCACUUCACAAAGUACGCAGUGGCUAUCCCAACACCAAACCAAAAGGCUCAAACGGUUGCAAAGUGCUUAUGGGACAAUUUCAUCGUCCAUUAUGGUAUUCCCGAGAAACUGCACAGUGACCAAGGUCCUGAUUUUGAGUCGCGGCUGAUCAAACAACUGUGUGAAGUUGCAGGCAUACAGAAAAUUCGAACAACUCCAUACCACCCAAGGGGUAACCCCGUGGAACGUUUUAACCGCACUCUGUUAGACAUGCUUGGUACUCUGGAAAACCAGGAUAAGUCACACUGGAAGGACUUCGUGAAGCCUUUGGUCCAUGCAUACAAUUGUACCAGGAGUGAAGUGACUGGGUUCACACCGUAUGAGCUAAUGUUCGGACGCCAGCCACGCCUGCCGGUCGACCUUGCAUUCGGCUUACCUGUCAAAGAAGAGCAACAGAAGUCACACUCCCAGUACGUAAAGCACCUCAAAUCCCAUCUCGAGGAGAGCUACAAGAUAGCAACAAGGAGUGCUGCCAAGGUGGCUGAAAAGAACAAAACAAGGUUUGACAAGCGUGUGACCCCUUCUGCUCUGGACAUUGGAGACAGAGUACUUGUCAGGAAUGUACGUAUUCGUGGAAAGCACAAGCUAGCUGAUAAAUGGGAGUCCACUGUCCAUGUGGUAGUGAGGAAGGCUGGAGACCUCCCCGUCUAUACAGUAGAACCAGAGACCGGAGAAGGCCCUCAGCGUACGUUGCAUCGAGACCUCUUGCUCCCAUGUGGGUUCCUCCAUGUAACACCAGAAGAACAACCCAAACCACUCGAGCGCCGCAAGACACGCCAGAACACUCGCAGUGACCCAAGAGAAGUUCAUCAGUCCUCAGAUGAGGACGAUAUCAUUCCUGUUAUCUGGUCCCAAUAAAAACCAGUUCAAGAGGUAACCGGAUAUAUUGUCUCGCGAGAUGUUCCAAGACACCAUGGCCCAAGCCAUUCUAAAGAGAACCUGAUGACAGACCUCAACAAGGUGACUGAUUAAGUUCCAGAUAAUGUGAGUAGCCUACCUGAUGUUACAGUCAACCGAGUAACACUGGACCUGAACUUACCUGGAAAUGAACCUGUGGAAAUAAAAGACCUGCCUGGAUAUGAACCUGCACAAAGAGAGACAAACUUACCUGAUAGUGACGACCUUGUGAAAGAGUUGGAUGAGGACUGUCCUGAACAACCUCCAGUCCCCUCCGACAUGCCAGAAUGUGAUGAGACAAAUGUCUAUGAAAAUGAAAGAGAAGAGGAGAUUAAGGAGACGGAGGAACAAGCACAUACUGAUGAUCUAGUCAGGAGAUCCGAGAGGAAUCGUCAGCCACCUAGGCGGCUGGACUACACUGAACUGGGAAACCCCUUAGUCACAGUGGUGAAGUCACUCUUUCAAGGGCUGACUACUGGUACCACGGACUGGUAUGAAAAUAUCCUCUCAGGGAUAGGAAUUUGAAGAAUAUUGAAUACCAGAUAUUAAAGUAGUGUGUGUCCAUUAGGUUGGAAGCUGUUGAGGAACAACUGUCAACAAUUGUUAAGCCGUGUUGACACUGCGAACCCUUAAGAUACCUCCGGUAAGGAUGCUAAUACUAAUGCGAGUGUUAUGCUGACUGUGUUAGCUCCGUUAGGGCGAAAAAUACCGUUAAUCUAAAACCAAUCGGAGUUGUGACCCUAAUUUUUACUGUUUUAUACCAUAUAGACACAGAUUCGGAUUGUUUUAUGUUGUUUAAGAUGCUCGUAAAAGAGAGCUGCUCGCGCUAGCCGCAUGCUAACCUUUAACACUUAAAUGUGAAUUUGUUUAGAUUUGAGCUCUGCUGCUAGUUUAGCUAAGCUAGUCACCACAGUACCAUAUUUAUUAUAGUAUUCAUACCACGAAAUGUGUCUUUAUACUCUGUUCUGUUGACUUAGAAGUCAUUUGAUUGAGGAAAUAUUUACCCUCUUGUUGUCAUAUGUAAAAUAAAUCUGAUUUAGUUCAUUUAGUUGCAAAUAUACAUGUUUGAUAUGUGUAUGAAGAACAGAAGUUCAUCUUAACUGUCAUUAAGAAUAAAUAUAUUAAAAUGUGAUGUUUAAAACGUUAUUAAGGUGCUUAAAUAGCUUUAAAAAGAAAAGUUAAAGAACAUAAAUAUCUUGUUUCAGAAAUCUAAUGAUUUAAUUUCUAUACUGUGAAAUGGAAGUACAUGAUUGAUUGUUGUUCAUUGGAACUGACCUAUGUUGUGUUGUGUGGUGUGAUGUGUACUUAUUCAUUUACAUAAUGAUUAGAGUAUCUAUAUCCUUUACAAUUGGUUAUAUUUGAUCUGACAUUUGAAUAGAGAUAAGUUGAUCGAAUUUGAACAGAAAUGAGGCAAUAGUAACUAAUGCAUUCUGUACUGUAUGUAUAGAUUGGUUUUAAGAGAGGGAUAGAUCAUCUGAAUCUGACCCUUGGGGUCAGUGGCGAGCCAACCGCAGAAGUCAGAAAACGGACCAAGAGCCUGGUGUGGCCAGCCGUGGCAUCUUUGGAACCAUCAUCAUCCCGUGCCUUCGUUUGAAGGCUUUGGUCUCCUGGGUCUAUUUCCUGUGCUGAUGAGGUGUAUGAAGGAGAUGACUCUAGCAAAACUUAGCGCUGUGUUCAGAAGCGCUUCUUACGUCCUACUCGCCCUCUCCAACAAUACAUGGAUGGUCUUCCUGG